rnacentral:rRNA from 1 species
CACCAGCGCCACGAGUGGCUAUCGCGAUUAUUGGGCCUAAAGCGUCCGUAGUCGGAGUGAUACAUCUUCUGUGAAAUCGCUGCGCUUAACGUAGCGGCAUGCGGAAGACACGGUCACUCUUGAGACCGGGGAGGCGUGUAGGGUAUUCCACGGGGGACCGGGUAAAAUGGUAUAAUCCGUGGAGGACCACCUGUGGCGAAGGCGCUACACGAGAACGGAUCUGACGAUGAGGGACGAAAGCCAGGGGAGCAAACCGG